rnacentral:rRNA from 1 species
UACGGAGGGGGCGAGCGUUAUUCGGAAUUACUGGGCGUAAAGCGUGCGCAGGCGGUGAUGUAAGACAGGUGUGAAAUCCCCGGGCUUAACCUGGGAACUGCAUUUGUGACUGCAUCGCUGGAGUGCGGCAGAGGGGGAUGGAAUUCCGCGUGUAGCAGUGAAAUGCGUAGAGAUGCGGAGGAACACCGAUGGCGAAGGCAGCCCCCUGGGCUAGCACUGACGCUCAGGCACGAAAGCGUGGGGAGCAAACAGG